rnacentral:snRNA from 1 species
GCGGUUUCCGCACUACUUGGUUUGGAACAACACAGAGAAGAUUAGCAUGGCCCCUGCGCAAGGAUGACAUGUAUUCUUGAGAGAUGCCAUGACGUAGGUCAUGGCUUUU